rnacentral:rRNA from 1 species
CCUACGGGCGGCAGCAGUGAGGAAUAUUGGUCAAUGGACGCAAGUCUGAACCAGCCAUGCCGCGUGCAGGAAGACGGCUCUAUGAGUUGUAAACUGCUUUUGUACGAGGGUAAACGCAGAUACGCGUAUCUGUCUGAAAGUAUCGUACGAAUAAGGAUCGGCUAACUCCGUGCCCGCAGCCGCGGUAAUACGGAGGAUUCAAGCGUUAUCCGGAUUUAUUGGGUUUAAAGGGUGCGUAGGCGGUCGGAUAAGUUAGAGGUGAAAUCCCGAGGCUCAACUUCGGAAUUGCCUCUGAUACUGGUCGGCUAGAGAGUAGGUGCGGUAGGCGGAAGGUAUGGUGUAGCGGUGAAAUGCUUAGAGAUCAGACAGAACACCGAUUGCGAAGGCAGCUUACCAAGCUACUUCUGACGUUGAGGCACGAAAGCGUGGGGAGCAAACAGGAUUAGAUACCCCAGUAGUC